AUAUUACUAAGCGGAGGAAAAGAAACCAACAGGGAUUGCCUCAGUAACGGCGAGUGAAGCGGCAUCAGCUCAGAUUUGAAAGGCGGCAGCAGCCUCCAUUGUAAUCUGCAGAGGAACGUUUGGCUUUGGUAUGGGUCCAAGUCUUCUGGAAUGUAGCGCCUUAGAGGGUGAGAGCCCCGUAUACG
rnacentral:rRNA from 1 species